rnacentral:rRNA from 1 species
GACGAACGCUGGCGGCGUGCUUAACACAUGCAAGUCGAACGGAAAGGCCCUGCUUUUGUGGGGUGCUCGAGUGGCGAACGGGUGAGUAACACGUGGGUAACCUGCCCUUGACUUUGGGAUAACUUCAGGAAACUGGGGCUAAUACCGGAUAGGAGCUCCUGCUGCAUGGUGGGGGUUGGAAAGUUUCGGCGGUUGGGGAUGGACUCGCGGCUUAUCAGCUUGUUGGUGGGGUAGUGGCUUACCAAGGCUUUGACGGGUAGCCGGCCUGAGAGGGUGACCGGCCACAUUGGGACUGAGAUACGGCCCAGACUCCUACGGGAGGCAGCAGUGGGGAAUAUUGCACAAUGGGCGGAAGCCUGAUGCAGCAACGCCGCGUGCGGGAUGACGGCCUUCGGGCUGUAAACCGCUUUCGCCUGUGACGAAGCGUGAGUGACGGUAAUGGGUAAAGAAGCGCCGGCUAACUACGUG